GAUGAACGCUGGCGGCGUGCCUAAUACAUGCAAGUCGAGCGAACAGACGAGGAGCUUGCUCCUCUGACGUUAGCGGCGGACGGGUGAGUAACACGUGGAUAACCUACCUAUAAGACUGGGAUAACUUCGGGAAACCGGAGCUAAUACCGGAUAAUAUAUUGAACCGCAUGGUUCAAUAGUGAAAGACGGUUUUGCUGUCACUUAUAGAUGGAUCCGCGCCGCAUUAGCUAGUUGGUAAGGUAACGGCUUACCAAGGCGACUAUGCGUAGCCGACCUGAGAGGGUGAUCGGCGACCAGGGAACUGAGACACGGUCCAGACGCCUACGGGAGGCAGCAGUAGGGAAUCUUCCGCAAUGGGCGAAAGCCUGACGGAGCAACGCCGCGUGAGUGAUGAAGGCCUUCGGAUCGUAAAACUCUGUUAUUAGGGAAGAACAAAUGUGUAAGUAACUAUGCACGUCUUGACGGUACCUAAUCAGAAAGCCACGGCUAACUACGUG
rnacentral:rRNA from 1 species